CUUUCUUCCAUGUGCACACGCUGAUUUCUCAACCUGGAAUCAUUUCCCUACACCUUUCCUCAAAGGACUGUUAAUGAGUUUUCAGAGCAGGUACUUCACUGAAAUGUAACUACCACAAUGCAUCCUUUCCAUGUGACUAACUUCGCUCAUGGACCAGAAUCACUGUGGCUCUGCCCUGGAGUGGUGCAAAGAGCUCGCAUUCUGUUUGGAAAGCAAAUUAUUUAAAUCCAGUAGAGGACUCUCAAAUGUGGUUGGAAAAUCUAAGAAGACUUCCCAGAGGCAGCAGCACUAGUGUUAGGGAAAGAGCUCACAAAUUCCAUUGCUGUAGAAUCCAUGUGUUGAAGACCGCUACACUGGAAUCUAGUUUUCUAUCCUAAAAUCUACCUCCUGAGUUUGAGUAAGACUUGAACUAGUUUGCAAAUAUCUGUGAUCUUCACCUUGCCUGCCUGCAAAGCCCAUAAGCAAGUUCAGAAGAGACUUCUACUUGUCCAAAGCAACAUGGAGUAAAGUGGGUCAACUAGAAUUAAAAUAUGCUCCAGCCAAAGGUGACCAUGGAAACCUAUUGAUAAGGCUCUGGGGUCAGAUUCAUCUCUGUUCAGACAACUCUAGCGGUGUGACUCUGAGCAAGUGUUUUUUAACCUAAGUUCCUGCUUCCUCAACUGCAAAUGUAGGAAUGGUAACAUCUUCCUCAAAGUUGUAUGCUGGGGAUAACACAUGAAGGAGAUGCCUGGGCCAUAUAAUUAUUUAAGAAAUGUUCAUUUCUUUCUUGAACUACCUUCUACCAACUAUUUGGUCUGAGUUUAUGAAACUGUAAAUUUUGUCUAACAUUUGCCUAACAAAGCAUUAUUACCUUGCUUAAAGAAACACACAAUACAUUCUAAACC
rnacentral:lncRNA from 10 species